UCCCGUUAGUCGGGGUGCCGCGAAAAUCGGCUGAGAAAAUACCCGGGAACCUGAUACAGUUAGCACUGGCGUAGGAAACUAAUUUUCUGUUUUG
rnacentral:ncRNA from 2 species